rnacentral:rRNA from 1 species
CAAUAGCGUAUAUUAAAGUUGUUGCAGUUAAAAGCUCGUAGUUGGAUUUCUGGGAGGGUGCCAAUGUCCGUCGUCGUACGUGUUGCAGCGGCGCCCUUCCAUCCUUCUGUUAACGACUUUGGGCAUUCAUUUGCCGGAGUCGGGCUCAGAUAUUUUACCUUGAGAAAAUUAGAGUGUUUCAGGCAGGCUAGGCCGGAAUACAUUAGCAUGGAAUAAUAGAAUAGGACUGGGUCCAUUUUGUUGGUUAUUGGACGCAGUGAUGAUUAAUAGGGACAGUUGGGGGCAUUAGUAUUUAAUUGUCAGAGGUGAAAUUCUUGGAUUUAUUAAAGACUGACUUAUGCGAAAGCAUUUGCCAAGGAUGUUUUCAUUGAUCAAGAACGAAAGUUAGGGGAUCAAAGACGAUUAGAUACCAU